rnacentral:rRNA from 1 species
GGGUCAGUAGGUUGGUCGUGCCACCGGUACGUACUGGUCUCACUGAUUCCUCCUUCCUGAAGAACCGUAAUGCCAUUAAUUUGGUGUUGCGGGGAAACAGGACUGUUACUUUGAAAGAAUUAGAGUGUUUAAAGCAAGCUAACGCUUGAAUACAUUAGCAUGGAAUAAUGAAAUAGGACGAUCGACCCUAUUUUGUUGGUUUCUAGGAUUGACGUA